rnacentral:rRNA from 1 species
AGAAUUUGCCCUUCAGACUGGGACAACUAAUCGAAAGGUUAGCUAAUACCGGAUAUUAUGAGACCUUGGCAUCAAGGACUUAUGAAAGCUAUAUGCGCUGGAGGAGAACUUUGCGUUCCAUUAGCUAGUUGGUAGGGUAAUGGCCUACCAAGGCGACGAUGGAUAGCCGGCCUGAGAGGGUGAACGGCCACAAGGGGACUGAGACACGGCCCUUACUCCUACGGGAGGCAGCAGUGGGGAAUAUUGGACAAUGGACCAAAAGUCUGAUCCAGCAAUUCUGUGUGCACGAUGAAGGUCUUCGGAUUGUAAAGUGCUUUCAGGUGGGAAGAAGAAAGUGACGGUACCACCAGAAGAAGCGACGGCUAAAUACGUGCCAGCAGCCGCGGUAAUACGUAUGUCGCAAGCGUUAUCCGGAAU